rnacentral:rRNA from 1 species
AGGAUGAACGCUGGCGGCGUGCUUAACACAUGCAAGUCGAACGGUGAAGCAGAGCUUGCUCUGUGGAUCAGUGGCGAACGGGUGAGUAACACGUGAGCAACCUGCCCCUGACUCUGGGAUAAGCGCUGGAAACGGCGUCUAAUACUGGAUAUGUGACGUGACCGCAUGGUCUGCGUCUGGAAAGAAUUUCGGUUGGGGAUGGGCUCGCGGCCUAUCAGCUUGUUGGUGAGGUAAUGGCUCACCAAGGCGUCGACGGGUAGCCGGCCUGAGAGGGUGACCGGCCACACUGGGACUGAGACACGGCCCAGACUCCUACGGGAGGCAGCAGUGGGGAAUAUUGCACAAUGGGCGAAAGCCUGAUGCAGCAACGCCGCGUGAGGGAUGACGGCCUUCGGGUUGUAAACCUCUUUUAGCAGGGAAGAAGCGAAAGUGACGGUACCUGCAGAAAAAGCGCCGGCUAACUACGUGCCAGCAGCCGCGGUAAUACGUAGGGCGCAAGCGUUAUCCGGAAUUAUUGGGCGUAAAGAGCUCGUAGGCGGUUUGUCGCGUCUGCUGUGAAAUCCGGAGGCUCAACCUCCGGCCUGCAGUGGGUACGGGCAGACUAGAGUGCGGUAGGGGAGAUUGGAAUUCCUGGUGUAGCGGUGGAAUGCGCAGAUAUCAGGAGGAACACCGAUGGCGAAGGCAGAUCUCUGGGCCGUAACUGACGCUGAGGAGCGAAAGGGUGGGGAGCAAACAGGCUUAGAUACCCUGGUAGUCCACCCCG